rnacentral:miRNA from 1 species
UAUCACAGUUCGAUUUGGCCCG